CGCGCCGCCUACCUGCCGGGUACCGCUCGUUGACCGGCCAGCUGUCCACCUGCAGGGUGGCGUUGCCGCCGCUUCGAGUGAAGCGCACCACGUGGUAUUUGCCGUCGCUUACUAUGGCGUUGGGCUCGUCAAUGUAUUCACAGAGCAUCUACUCUGUGCAAGGGCCACUGGGCCCAGACAGGGGUGAUCGAGCCAAGCUGGGGACCAGCUCGGGGCAUGGAGGGCAGAGGCCUCUCUAAGGCAAGAUCAGCAGAGAAGUCCACAGAAGCCGGCCUCUGCCAGAGGAAGAUGGGCGAACUGAGGCUCAGACAGCUGCGGUGACUUGCAUAAAGACAGCAAGGAAGUGGCAAAGUUGGGAUUCAAACCCAGACCAUCUACUGCAAGCCAUGCAGAGCUUCGCAUGAGGGAGAAGAGAGAGAAGGAGCAGCCCUCACUCACAGAGGACACAGGGAAACCCAGUCACACCCCGCCACCCAGAAAGGCAAUUGAAACAACUGCAAACACCACUACAUGGGGAAAUACACAUCUAUAGAUACACUC